rnacentral:tRNA from 1 species
UGGCUCAGCGGUUAAGAGCACUGAUUUAUCUUCCAGAGGUCCUGGGUUCAAUUCCCAG